rnacentral:rRNA from 1 species
UGCGUAGGCGGUUUACUAAGUCAGAUGUGAAAGCCCCGGGCUUAACCUGGGAACUGCAUUUGAUACUGGUAGGCUAGAGUAUGAUAGAGGGGGGUAGAAUUCCUGGUGUAGCGGUGAAAUGCGUAAAUAUCAGGAGGAAUACCAGUGGCGAAGGCGGCCCCCUGGAUCAAUACUGACGCUGAGGUACGAAAGCGUGGGUAGCGAACA